UACAGAGGGUGCGAGCGUUAAUCGGAAUUAUUGGGCGUAAAGAGCUCGUAGGCGGUUUGUCGCGUCUGCUGUGAAAUCCCGAGGCUCAACCUCGGGUCUGCAGUGGGUACGGGCAGACUGGAGUGCGGUAGGGGAGAAUGGAAUUCCUGGUGUAGCGGUGGAAUGCGCAGAUAUCAGGAGGAACACCGAUGGCGAAGGCAGUUCUCUGGGCCGUAACUGACGCUGAGGAGCGAAAGCGCGGGGAGCGAACAGG
rnacentral:rRNA from 1 species